rnacentral:lncRNA from 1 species
UUAUUUAGUCCGCGAUGGCUUCCCUCGCGCCCCACCGUCCUCUUCCGGAAGGCGGCUCCCUCCCUGCGCAGCCCGGAGCCCCUGAGAUCAGCCUCGAGCAGGCGCCCGAGCGAGACUAUCCCUAAACGGGAACGGCGGUGGCCGACUCGCGAGUGAGGAAAAGAAGGAAAGGGCAGACUGGUCGCGAAGAGAAGAUCCAGGCCUCAGAGGAGGAGAAAGGCCGGAGCCAGCCGAGCUGUCACGACCGGAGGGGGGACUCGCAGCCUUACCAGGUACCAGCCGAGGCCGGGGUGGAGGGAUUGGAAGGGGCCGGAGGGGGAAGGGAGGGACUGCUACUCGAGCGCAGGCCUCAGAAGUCGAUACAGGCCCUUCGGUGCAACACAUCUGAAACUAGCACCGCGGAUCCCCUUAAAAUUCCAGGCACUUAAGUAUUCAUCGAAGAGUCACCCCAGUAGCGGUGAUCACAGACAUGAAAAGAUGCGAGACGCCGGAGAUCCUUCACCACCAAAUAAAAUGUUGCGGAGAUCUGAUAGUCCUGAAAACAAAUACAGUGACAGCACAGGUCACAGUAAGGCCAAAAAUGUG